CCAGCCCAGGGCAAGGAUUCCAAAGGGGUGUGGUUCCCUCCCCACCUUCCCAUCUCAAAGGGAAAACCCAACCAACUCUCAUCCACUGUGACAAGGGCAAGAACAGACAAGUGCCUCACAAAGAGAGGGCUGUCAGAGGGGGCGCCUGGCUGGCUCAGUUGGUGGAGCAUCUGACUCUUGGUCUCGGGAUCAUGAGUUCAGGUCCCACGUUGGGCAUGGAGCCUACUUAAAGAAUAAAAAAGACUUAAAAAGAAAAAAGAAAGGAAAGGCUGUCUGCGAGGAGAGGAAGGACUGAUCCACAAUGGCAGGCAGUGGAUGAAGAGUUUUAGGAGUUAAGAGAGAAGGAAGGUCAUGGCAGACAGAGGGAACAGGCUGAGAAAAACCACCACACCACCAGGAAAUGCCCUGCAAGCUGCUGAAGGGCAGAGAAUGUGCAACAGAGUAGAGAAGUGGGGCGGCUUACAGUCGUGUUCUAAAAGGCCUUAAGGGCACCAUAAGGCAUUGGAUCUUAUUUUGGAGGCAAGGAGAGGCACAGAAAAUGCAGUGGACACUGGCCACUUUCGUUGUUUGUCCAUCAUUCAACCCAACCCUCCCAUCAGCACCCUGCUCUUCCUUUCGGAGAACCCCCGUGAGUGGUCUUGGUGGCAGGCUAGCCAGACGCAGUUUCUGCGGCUCACCACCCAGCCUCCAGACUGAUACAGAGCACAAUGAAGCACAAGAGGGAGGGACCGGGUCAAAACCGUGUUUGAGAAAGAUAAUAAACACAGUUAUCAAGA